CAUGCGGGGGCUCCCUUAACAUGCAAGUCGAACGGCAGCACGGACUUCGGUCUGGUGGCGAGUGGCGAACGGGUGAGUAAUGUAUCGGAACGUGCCUAGUAGCGGGGGAUAACUACGCGAAAGCGUAGCUAAUACCGCAUACGCCCUACGGGGGAAAGCAGGGGAUCGCAAGACCUUGCACUAUUAGAGCGGCCGAUAUCGGAUUAGCUAGUUGGUGGGGUAACGGCUCACCAAGGCGACGAUCCGUAGCUGGUUUGAGAGGACGACCAGCCACACUGGGACUGAGACACGGCCCAGACUCCUACGGGAGGCAGCAGUGGGGAAUUUUGGACAAUGGGGGAAACCCUGAUCCAGCCAUCCCGCGUGUGCGAUGAAGGCCUUCGGGUUGUAAAGCACUUUUGGCAGGAAAGAAACGUCAUGGGUUAAUACCCCGUGAAACUGACGGUACCUGCAGAAUAAGCACCGGCUAACUACGUGCCAGCAGCCGCGGUAAUACGUAGGGUGCAAGCGUUAAUCGGAAUUACUGGGCGUAAAGCGUGCGCAGGCGGUUCGGAAAGAAAGAUGUGAAAUCCCAGAGCUUAACUUUGGAACUGCAUUUUUAACUACCGGGCUAGAGUGUGUCAGAGGGAGGUGGAAUUCCGCGUGUAGCAGUGAAAUGCGUAGAUAUGCGGAGGAACACCGAUGGCGAAGGCAGCCUCCUGGGAUAACACUGACGCUCAUGCACGAAAGCGUGGGGAGCAAACAGGAUUAGAUACCCCUGGUAGUCCACGCCCUAAACGAUGUCAACUAGCUGUUGGGGGCCCUUCGGGGCCUUAGUAGCGCAGCUAACGCGUGAAGUUGACCGCCUGGGGGAGUACGGUCGCAAGAUUAAAAACUCAAAGGAAAUUGACGGGGGACCCGCAACAAGCGGUGGAUGAAUGUGGAUUAAUUCGAUGCAAACGCGAAAAAAGCUUACCUACCCUUGGACAUGUCUGGAAAUUCCUGAAGAGAAUUUGGAAAGUGCUCGCUAAGAGAACCCGGCAACACAGGUUGCUGCAUGGUCUGUCCGUUCAGCUUCGUGUCGUGAGAAUGAUUGGGGGU
rnacentral:rRNA from 1 species